GACCUUUACUUCAGUUUUGUCCAUGAUGGGUCUCUCUGUUUGGGUUACCUCAUUCCUGAGUAUCUUUAUUUUGUAUUAUUUCCUCUAACUACAAAGCUACAGCAACAGUUAGCUAGUAUUGGUAUCACUGAACUAACAUGUGGUGAAAAUAAAUAUGAUCUAAGAGAGUUCUCAAAAGAAGAGGUUAAGCACUCAUCCACUGAUAUUGAUAUAUGUGAUCCAUUAUGGUAUGAGAAUACCAGU